rnacentral:misc_RNA from 1 species
GAUGAAGAACGCAGCGAAAUGCGAUAAGUAAUGUGAAUUGCAGAAUUCCGUGAAUCAUCGAAUCUCUGAACGCACAUUGCGCCCCCUGGCAUUCCGGGGGGCAUGCCUGUCCGAGCGUCAUUUCUGCCCUCAAGCACGGCUUGUGUGUUGGGUGUGGUCCCCCCGGGGACCUGCCCGAAAGGCAGCGGCGACGUCCGUCUGGUCCUCGAGCGUAUGGGGCUCUGUCACUCGCUCGGGAAGGACCUGCGGGGGUUGGUCACCACUAUAUUUUACCACGGUUGACCUCGGAUCAGGUAGGAGUUACCCGCUGAACUUAAGCAUAUCAAUAAGCGGAGGA